rnacentral:rRNA from 1 species
AACGAACGCUGGCGGCAUGCCUAACACAUGCAAGUCGAACGAGACCUUCGGAACUAGUGGCGCACGGGUGCGUAGCGCGUCGGAACCUUCCCUUAGGUUCGGAAUACCUCCCCGACAGGGGUGCUAAUACCGGAUAAUGUCUUCUGACCAAAGAUUUAUCGCGUUUGGAUGGGCCCGCGUUGGAUUAGCUAGUUGGUAGGGUAAAAGCCUACCAAGGCGACGAUCCAUAGCUGGGAUGAGAGGAUGAUCAGCGACACUGGGACUGAGACACGGCCCAGACUCUUACGGGAUGCAGCAGUGGGUAAUAUAGGAAAAUGGCCGAAGGCAUGAAGCAGCAAGGCUGCGAGAGUGAUGAAGUUCUGAGAGUUGUAAAGCUCUUUUACCCGGGAUGAUCAUGACGGUACCGGGAGAAUAAGCUCCGGCUAACUUCGUG